rnacentral:rRNA from 1 species
CACACCGCCCGUCACACCAUGGGAGUUGGCUUUACCCGAAGACGGUGCGCCAACCAGCAAUGGAGGCAGCCGGCCACGGUAGGGUCAGCGACUGGGGUG